CUGCAAACACCAGAAGCCUGAAGAAUGUUUAACAGGGAAAGUUCCUGAUCCACAGUAACCUCAGUGUUCCUGACAACACCCGCGGGCCCAGGAAGUGUGCCAACCAACCAGAGGUGGGCCAAGCCCUCCUCCACCCCAGGAGGGCACCCAGCAAUCACUGCCCUCCCACCCUGUGGAGAACUGGGGUACAAGCUGUCCCAAGAAGCAAGUCUGAUGUGUACCAGGCAGUGACAACCAGUGUGGCCCUUUGGCAGAUGUCACUUGCAGGUGGUGUUUGCAGCACUCAUGUCCUCAUGUCAGGUGGGAUCUGUGAAAAGCUGGAGAGAUGUCAGGAGCCUCCCCAGCCUGAAGAGCUUCAUGCUGAAUACUGAUUUGAAGUAUGGUUCGUGGUGCAGACUUAAAUUGUCCUUCCCACAACUUUAUCUGAGACGCCUGACAAUGGUGACAAUCACAGGACUACUUCUAUUGGGUGAGACUAUUCUAUCUGCAGUGUACUCUGACAGCCUCCACAAUUUUUAAGUGCAAUUAAAUGCUAAGAAUUUGCCCAGAAAAAAAAAAAGAUCACAUUUUAAAAAAAAAUUUAAGAAGGC
ensembl:lncRNA